GAAUUCCAAGCAGAAAGUAUGAGAAGACACACACAGCAAUGCGUGUCUUCCCCUCGGCUGCUUGUGUAGAGCUCAGACAAUGAAAAAACUAGAUUCCCCACCUACCCCCACCCCCUCCCGCGACAAGAUUUUUGUUUUCGUUCGUUCUGAACCGUGGAGGAUGUGCAAAAACAAAUCAUUUUUAAACAAAAAAACAAACUGGGAUGAGGAUUACCCAAAUUAACACUGGCUGAGCUUGCUAAGGGGGAUCUAGGAUGCUCAAAACAGGAACGGUUGUAAACCCCAUUCCUGUCCCAAUCACACGCUCAAUAAACGUUACUGCUUCUGCUGCUGCCGCCGCUGCUGCUGGUGUUACUACUACUACUACCACUACAGGGUGGGGAAAAACCUCUGGACACUGAAAACCUGGAGACAACCAUUUCCUCUGAGCCUGGAUGGAGCCGCAGUGGACAAAAUGAAAAUAGCCGCGCAUCUUCCUCCACCCGCCUGAAGCGCAACUCCAGCUCCGCCUGUAGAGGUCAACUCACUCACACACCCCCUCCCUCCAUCCCAGAGCUCCUUCCUUUUGACUGUUGCCGCAGUCAGACUAGGUGUGCACCCUGCAAGGCCGCCCUUCUUUGCACCAGCUAUAGACUCCCGAGGUGGCUCCAGGACUUGAGGUCUAUUUAUGCGGGGAGUAGAGAAUCUUUACUAUCCUCAACAUUCCUUUCUUUCUCCUCAACAUAGGCCAGAUGGGCUAUCCAUACUCUCUGGGACAUAGGCAGGUGCAUUUAAGUUAAUUUUUUCGCAUUACAAAGAAAGAUGACCCAGCCCGCUUGUUUAUUUUCACAUCUCUCGAAAGUUUUUAACCAAAAAAUAUCUUACUAACCCAGAGGACAUGGCUGCAUGUACAUAUGUGUUGGGUUUUUUCUUCAAUCUCUUUCUCCCCCUUCCUAGAUGCCAUAUUUUUUUUCCCUGGGAGCAGCAAACAAGAUUGUCAGAAGUAUUUUGCAAGACAAGUGGCAGUCAUCUAAAGAUCUCCAUUCCUCAAAAGUAACUUAGAAUUGAUCUAGUGUGGAGAGUUUCAUUUAAUUACUAAUUCGGAGGAUAACACGAUUUAGAAAUUAGAGUAGCAACAGAGGGCUAUUUGAGUUCCAUUGAAGUAGUCAUCUGAAAACUAGAUGUAGACAAGUAAGUUUACAUUCCUAGAUUUAAUAUAUGUAUAUUACUUGCAUAGAGAAAUAUAGACAAAUACUUAUACAUAUAUACAAUGUACAUUUUCCCUCAAUAGACUAAUUAACAGUGAAACUAACAGAUGUGGUAACUAACAGAGGCCAGCGCUGACAAGAGCAGCCUCGGUGAUUUACACUCUCUCGGGAGCUAUGGGGAAUGCAGAACAAGGGUAUACAGUACUACUUUGAGGGGAGGGAAAGAUGAGGAGAGGCAAACUCAGUGUGUCAUUUCCUUUCCGGACAAAGAUCAGAGACUCUGUCUCUCCGUGUUCACAGCGGACCUUGAUUUAAUGUCAUACAAUUAAGGCACGCGGUGAAUGCCAAGAGCCGAGCCUGAAAAACUACAUUUUGAAGGACACCAGCCCAUCUUAGAGGCAGAGAGGAAAAAUUCAACAUGAAAGAUGGACUCGAUUGCUUUGUGGGGAAGAUCCACAAUCAAAUCUUGAAACCCAGGUAGAAACCGUGAGACUUUGACAUCUGCAUACCUGCAAGUCUUUCUUCGAACUAUUAGAAAGAAGAACUUUCUGUCACAGCUGAUAGGAGGGCAAAUAUGCAGGAUGUGAGAAUGUUCAGUCAACUAUUAGCUGUUAGGAAGGAUUUUUUCCCCAGUAGCAUAGGGAAUGUUUCUGCUCCAUGAUCCAAGAGUGGGUAAGUAGGGAAAAAUAAAUAAAUAAACUAAUAAGAACCCUAUAGUAGGUGCAAUCUAUAGAAGACGCAGUACUUACUACAUUCCCUUACUCCUUUAAAAUGGAUUGAUGCAUGGGGCACAAUGAAACCGCUCCUAGGGUGAAACUUUUGCUGGUGGUUUUCUUUGUAGAAUUGACCUUGCCUAACUUAAAAUCAAGAGGACCCUCCCUCCUUUUUGCAGUCAAACGCAAAGCGCCAGACCGCUAAAUUCAAUGGAGUGGGACAAACGGGUGGAAAAUUGUAGUCCAGAAAGCUUGGAAGAACUCGGAAAAUUAAUUUAUUUGGAAGACAGUGAGGUGGAUUGUGAGAAGGUAGUAGUUCCGCACCAGGGCACUGGAGCCAAAGGAAAAUCCAGGGCUGAGAAUGGGAGACUUGAUAGAUGUCUUUGUUCAGUCUGGGCCUGUAGCGAACAAAGGAAAGGAACAGAGAUGAUCUGCAAAGGUGACAGCAGUCUUCCCCUCCCCCCCACCCUACCCCCAGAGCUGUCCGUGGUCCUGACCAUAGCCCCUUUCUCUUUGGCUCGCAAUUAAAAGAACAAUCAGGCAGACCCUUUCUCUGGAGCAGGAGUUUGCCCCAGGACACAACAAUAAAUUAGAUUAUUCAGGAAAUAAAGAUAAAAAGGGAGGGAGCCUGCAGCACCCCUCCCCCACUCUCUAACAUCACAUUAGGGUUACCCAAACUGACAUGAAACCCAUUAUUUGUAAAUACUUCCAGGAAAACUAUUUGUUGCCUUGGCAUUUCCUCAGUGUUCUAUUAUUUUGUCCUCUACAAAUCCGUCUAUAUACGGAUACAUGUAUACAUAUAUUUUAACCUACAUAUGUAUAUACACGAAUUUGCAGAGCUCAUAGAUGUAUAUAUACACACAUGCAUAGUGUGUAUAUGAAUGCAUGUGUGUACACAUCUAUGUGUGUGUGUGUGCAUGCGCUCGUGUGUGUAUGAGUAUAUGUAUUGUGUAUAUACAUACAAUGCCCUGUUGCAGAACUCCUACCUUCAGUCCACUUCACUAUAUGUGAAAAUUGCCCCUCCCCCAAAAAAAAGGAAUUGAGAAAAGGGAAGAGAAGAAUAUUUACAUAUAUAUGUAUACAUAGAUUCUUUUUAUAUAUACAUAUGUUGUUUAUAUAUUUAUCCCCAUGUUAAAGGUAGGAAACCAAUUCCUCAAGCCCAAACCAGUAGUGUUUAAUAAAGUCAAGAAAAUAAUUCAUGUAUUUAUAAUGUAAAUUUCCCUAAAUGUCCACACUCUUCCCAUCUUCCAGUAUUCCCCCCAACUCUCACACAGAAUUUCAUCUACUUUAUGCGCAUAAAGGGCAAUAAUGUUUUAGAGGGAGGUAGAAGAGGAUGCGCCAAGAGCCAGUCUCAGCACGCAGGCGCACCACAUAUUCACAUGCAGAAGAAAUACUGCAGAAAGGUAUUUCUAGAAAGCCCCAUGACAUUCUGACUGCAAUUUAACGCAUAUGAAAGGGAGCGGCCUUUUCCAAACCUUGGUUGCUAGCAUGACUGCAGUGCGGUAUGUUUGAAAAUCCGACAUCAUCAUGCCAGGGAUUCUGUGGAUUGCUUCAAUACCCUGGAAAGAAUUUUGGAGCGAGAGAAGGAGCCCUGUAAUAUAUAGAGACUAAGAAAUAUUUUCUAAUUUACGCAGGAGAUUAAGAUAAAAGCAGGGAUCCAGGGUGCAUGUGGGUAGUGUUUAAACCUCCUUUUUAGAUCUUUCAGGGAAACUCAAUGUUCCUGAACUUAUAUAUUCAAAAAGUCCCCUCUGCCCUCCCCCCCCCCCAAGAAUGGACCCAACUAAACAAAGAAACAGUAAAUGAAAUAUCUAUUUUUACCCACCCUAAUGUCAUUGGAUACAUUUUUAAAGGUAUGCAAAUAUAUGUAUUGUUAAGAGGCAAAUAAAGUAAUAGUCUACAAAUACCUACC